rnacentral:rRNA from 1 species
AACGCGAAGAACCUUACCUACCCUUGACAUCCAGAGAAUUCUGCAGAGAUGCGGAAGUGCCGCAAGGAACUCUGAGACAGGUGCUGCAUGGCUGUCGUCAGCUCGUGUUGUGAGAUGUUGGGUUAAGUCCCGUAACGAGCGCAACCCUUAUCCUUAGUUGCCAACAUGUAAUGGUGGGGACUCUAAGGAGACUGCUGGUGAUGAACCGGAGGAAGGCGGGGACGACGUCAAGUCAUCAUGGCCUUUAUGGGUAGGGCUACACACGUGCUACAAUGGGGCGUACAGAGGGUUGCCAACCUGCGAAGGGGAGCCAAUCCCGAAAAGCGCCUCGUAGUCCGGAUUGAAGUCUGCAACUCGACUUCAUGAAGUCGGAAUCGCUAGUAAUCGCGAAUCAGAACGUCGCGGUGAAUACGUUCCCGGGCCUUGUACACACCGUAGACGAC